UACGUAGGUGGCAAGCGUUGUCCGGAAUUAUUGGGCGUAGAGCGCGCGCAGGUGGUCUUUUAAGUCUGAUGUGAAAGCCCCCGGCUCAACCGUGGAGGGUCAUUGGAAACUGGAAAACUUGAGUGCAGAAGAGGAAAGUGGAAUUCCAUGUGUAGCGGUGAAAUGCGCAGAGAUAUGGAGGAACACCAGUGGCGAAGGCGACUUUCUGGGCUGUAACUGACGCUGAUGUGCGAAAGCGUGGGGAUCCAACAGG
rnacentral:rRNA from 1 species